rnacentral:rRNA from 1 species
GUGAGGAAUAUUGGUCAAUGGGCGAGAGCCUGAACCAGCCAAGUCGCGUGAAGGAAGAAGGAUCUAUGGUUCGUAAACUUCUUUUGCAGGGGAAUAAAGUGCGGGACGUGUCCUGUUUUGUAUGUACCCUGAGAAUAAGGAUCGGCUAACUCCGUGCCAGCAGCCGCGGUAAUACGGAGGAUCCGAGCGUUAUCCGGAUUUAUUGGGUUUAAAGGGUGCGUAGGUGGUUUGAUAAGUCAGCGGUGAAAGUUUGCAGCUUAACUGUAAAAAUGCCGUUGAAACUGUCGGACUUGAGUGUAAAUGAGGUAGGCGGAAUGCGUGGUGUAGCGGUGUAAUGCAUAGAUAUCACGCAGAACUCCGAUUGCGAAGGCAGCUUACUAAGCUACAACUGACACUGAAGCACGAAAGCGUGGGGAUCAAACAGGAUUAGAUACCCGGGUAGUCC